GCUUAACACAUGCAAGUCGAACGGAAAGGCCUCUGCUUGCAGGGGUACUCGAGUGGCGAACGGGUGAGUAACACGUGGGUGAUCUGCCUUGUACUUCGGGAUAAGCCUGGGAAACUGGGUCUAAUACCGGAUAGGACCAAUCUUUAGUGUGGUUGGUGGAAAGUUUUUUCGGUACGAGAUGAGCCCGCGGCCUAUCAGCUUGUUGGUGGGGUAAUGGCCUACCAAGGCGACGACGGGUAGCCGGCCUGAGAGGGUGUACGGCCACAUUGGGACUGAGACACGGCCCAGACUCCUACGGGAGGCAGCAGUGGGGAAUAUUGCACAAUGGGCGGAAGCCUGAUGCAGCGACGCCGCGUGAGGGAUGACGGCCUUCGGGUUGUAAACCUCUUUCGCUAGGGAAGAAGCCUUUUUGGUGACGGUACCUGGAUAAGAAGCACCGGCUAACUACGUGCCAGCAGCCGCGGUAAUACGUAGGGUGCAAGCGUUGUCCGGAAUUACUGGGCGUAAAGAGCUCGUAGGUGGUUUGUCGCGUCGUUAGUGAAAGCCCGGGGCUUAACUCCGGGUCUGCUGGCGAUACGGGCAUAACUUGAGUGCUGUAGGGGAGACUGGAAUUCCUGGUGUAGCGGUGGAAUGCGCAGAUAUCAGGAGGAACACCGAUGGCGAAGGCAGGUCUCUGGGCAGUAACUGACGCUGAGGAGCGAAAGCAUGGGUAGCGAACAGGAUUAGAUACCCUGGUAGUCCAUGCCGUAAACGGUGGGCGCUAGGUGUGGGGGUUUUUCACGACUUCCGUGCCGUAGCUAACGCAUUAAGCGCCCCGCCUGGGGAGUACGGCCGCAAGGCUAAAAC
rnacentral:rRNA from 1 species